rnacentral:rRNA from 1 species
GAUGAACGCUGGCGGCGUGCCUAAUACAUGCAAGUCGAGCGAACAGACGAGGAGCUUGCUCCUCUGACGUUAGCGGCGGACGGGUGAGUAACACGUGGAUAACCUACCUAUAAGACUGGGAUAACUUCGGGAAACCGGAGCUAAUACCGGAUAAUAUAUUGAACCGCAUGGUUCAAUAGUGAAAGACGGUUUUGCUGUCACUUAUAGAUGGAUCCGCGCCGCAUUAGCUAGUUGGUAAGGUAACGGCUUACCAAGGCAACGAUGCGUAGCCGACCUGAGAGGGGGAUCGGCGACACUGGAACUGGGACACGGUCCAGACUCCUACGGGAGGCAGCAGUAGGGAAUCUUCCGCAAUGGGCGAAAGCCUGACGGAGCAACGCCGCGUGAGUGAUGAAGGUCUUCGGAUCGUAAAACUCUGUUAUUAGGGAAGAACAAAUGUGUAAGUAACUAUGCACGUCUUGACGGUACCUAAUCAGAAAGCCACGGCUAACUACGUG